AGAAAGUGCAAGCAACAAGUCUCCAAGGUAAUUACAGUGGCGAGCAAUUCCCCUACUCAAGAACAAGUAUUAGGAAACCAUGUCCAAACAAUACCCAAUAAGAUCUCAACGAGGCUCAUAUUUGAAGAUUGAAAAAUUACAAGAUUUUGCUUACGAAUUCAUGAGGCACAAAAUCGAACAGAAACUACUUCCAACAUUCAAGAAGAGCUUGUUGGUGAAGAGCAGAACUAGACUCACGACUGUCUCCAAGUAACCCAUUAGGCUACGUAAGGUACGAGAAAUUGGCUUAUAUGGACAAAGAUUCAGAGAUUUAAACAUGACCGAGAACACUAGCCUAGUGUGGGAACAUACUUCAGUCCGUAGAACACUAGGAAAUUUUUAUGGAUGCCAUUCACUUUUUUGUUUCCCUGGUGCCCAAGGGAUUGGUGAGGGUUUGUCCAUUACUUGCCAUUGGCGUCUUAUUUGUGUUCAAGAACUUCGGCUCUUAUACAAUCAAGAGCCAACGAUACGUGACUAUCAAGAGUCAGUGAUAGGUGACAAUCAAGCAUGAAACUCACCCAUAUUAGCUCUACUUGCUCUUAAAUUAGAAAGGAACAUUCUCCAGAAGCAUUACAAUAGGAAAGAAUGGUCUGAAAAUGUACUUACGUGGAGGUCAUGUACUCCUCGUGAACGAAGUAGUCCAGGACAUAUAUCUGAAUUAACAAAUAUUCUAUUAUUUGGUGUCAUCCAAAUAUAACAAAAAAUGAAUGAAUUCUUUGGAGUAUCAGUUACCGCACAAAAUGUCUGGUAGAGGAUCAUCGACUGGCUCAUGGUGGCGUUCAAAACACUUCUAGCAAGAACUGAUAGAUUAAUAAGUAGCCAACCCAUCAUUCCAGCUCUCACAAAGAAAAAUCUACGAGAAAAUUCAAGAUUUUUGUCAAUUUAUGUAAUAACACCACCAUUUUGAUGUGGAUCAACA